CUGGAAUCGCUAGUAAUCGCGAAUCAGAAUGUCGCGGUGAAUACGUUCCCGGGCCUUGUACACACCGCCCGUCACACCAUGAGAGCCGGUAAUACCCGAAGUCAGUAUCCUAACCGCAAGGAGGGAGCUGCCGAAGGUAGGAUUGGCGAUUGGGGUGAAGUCGUAACAAGGUAAC
rnacentral:rRNA from 1 species